ensembl:lncRNA
UAAAGAGGAGGGGCCGAUGAGUUUUGCGCCGCCUCCAAAUAGACGUGCGUUUUUAAACUGAUAUGUAUAUGGCGUCUCCAGCCCCGGAAUAGUAGCGGGGGAACGAGGUCUUCGGAGCAGAUGUUUGGGCGGUGUGUGUGUGUGUGUGUGUGUGUGUGUGUGUGUGUUGAAGAUGUUCCAGGGUCAUUAAGCAGUCUCCUCUCUUUCUGUCCGCGCAGGGAAGGAUCGCUGGGACGAGCGGGCAUGUGAAACGACGCGUCACCCCAGAGGCUCAACGGGGACCUCGGUUCUUGGCCAGGACUCCAUUACCCAGAGUUCCUACAUCUCCUCCUCCACCUUCUCCCAGGGAACCGACGCCAUCAGGGACCCCAGCCCGCCCGCUGCCCCAGAGGCCCACUCUGCGACUCUCUCAGACCUGAAGGCACCGCUCAAGACCUUCAUGAACCUCAGCUGCCCAGACUCCGACGUGGUGGAGAUCCUCAUCUAGAUCUGGGGAUCAGAUGUCUGCAGCUGGGGUUGGAGGUCUUCCAGGACUCUAGAGAGCCCCCCCCCCGACGAUGGUGUUCCCCCGUACUCCCCUGACGACGGGGAGCUAUGGGCCUGCCGGUCGGUCUUGUGGACCGGACCCCUGGACUACAGCAGGCUGCACGGCCCGGCCGUGAAGCCGGACCGAACCGGCCGUCGUGGAAGACCAGGAACGGAACCCGGAACGGGACACAGUUCAGGGCCACGGGCCGGGCGUUCGAUGCUUGGCCGGUUCCCACGGUGAUGGGGUUCUAGAAGGUUCUCCGGUGGAGCGGCCCGCCUCGUCGCGGGGUAUAGGAAUCGGAGCCAUCUGUUAAUAUAUCUGUCGUGAUUUGUUUUUUCGUAUUUCGUGCCACGCGUUGUUAUUUGAAUGUAUGUUUUUAUUUAUAUCAAGUGCUGCUCAUGACUCGAGUCUCGCUCUGCCAUUUUUCCUUUUUAAUGGAAAAAACGAGAGACGUCUCACUUCUACCAAGCCCUGCUUCUCUCCCUGCCCCCGUCGGUCUGACCUCACCCCCCUUCCCGACCCGGCCUCGUACGACCACGUUUACAUUCAGGGUUACAGGAUUAGGACGACUCCCCUUAACAGGCACACCAGGCCAUUAUACCCCGGGUUCGCCCCGUCUAUAAGUUAUUUAAGCUGUUAGCUAUUUAAGCUCCCUGUAGGCAGGGAACAUACUGUUCUUUAUUUAAGGCGUGGUCUUGAGUACGCAUCUCUUAACGGGGGCUGGAGUUUGUUCGUGGUGCUCUAAUUUUGAAAAUCCUGGGUUAAUGUAAUGGGGCUUGUGAUCGCCAACGGGCCGCAUUCCACCAUGCCCUCCCGACAGGCUACGGCUAAUCUGCUCGCAUUCCUCAGUGAGGGAGCGCGCCCAUUAAAGAAAAAGGGCUAUCUAAAGAGGUGACCCUCACCCCUUGUUAAAAUGGUGCACAUUCUGGGCAUGGCUGCUUCUCCCCCUGCCUCUCUGUAGAGGAAGACUUUAGCGAGGCGCCCGGUCGGUAGCCGGCUACCACCCACAUGCGUCUCCUCCACAUUAUUUAUAAGCAGGGUGGAAACGGCGUGUCUAUCUUGAGCACUCUCCCUACCGCUCUGUCAUCGUCACUGUGUUCUUAAAUGAGACGCGAUACCGCUGCUGCUUCUCCCAUCGCAUGGGAAUGGGCUGCGGCGCCGCGGCUAAGAAUGAGCUCUGAGCGAUCGCCCCUAUUUAAUGUCCCGUGAAUGCUGAAUGUAUGGCCCCUUAUGCGCAGGAACUCCAGCUUAGUAGGGCUCUGUUUUUUUUUGGAGGGGAAUAACAAUCGACCAUCAGCAUGCAGAUAACGUGUUUCAUCCCUUCAGGCUGUUAUAAUAAUUCCACACGAGGAUGAAACUACUCUCGUUUUUUAAAAGUGUUUGUUUUGUUUCAAGUGUAGUACUAUCAGAAUACCCACAGGGACCGCCUACUCUAUGGGGUGAUGUGUACUAUGGUCGCUGGUGUUCCCCUUCCAAACCAGGGUGGUCUUCUGCUAAGUGUUGCUGGGCAACGCUGAAGUAGCUGAUUUCAAUUGGUUCUAAAAACGCCCCCAUAUCGCUAUUUACACUCUGUUUACAUUCAGGGUUGUCCGAAGUGAGAGAUGUUAAUAUAUUGUUUUUUUUUUUUUUUUUUUCUAUUUGUGAUGCCAAAGAAAACUUCCUUUUGUCCUUAAAUUAUUCGUGGAAAUUAUACAAAAUCAAGUUAUUAUUUGGUGGCCCUGUAAUGGCUGGAUGGCCCAUUAAGACGUUGCUGUGAACUUUUUGCUAUGGAAUUUUUGUAUAUGCCAUGCCAAUAACAUUUCACUUUUCAUUGAAUAAAAACCCUUAAUAUAUGUUCAUUAA